GACGAACGCUGGCGGCGUGCUUAACACAUGCAAGUCGAACGGAAAGGCCUGCUUUCCCUUGUGGAUUGCGGGUACUCGAGUGGCGAACGGGUGAGUAACACGUGAGUGAUCUGCCCCCAACUUGGGUAUAAGCCUGGGAAACUGGGUCUAAUUCCCGAUAGGACUGCAGGGUGGAGCCUGUGGUGGAAAACGAUUUUCUAGUGGUUGGGGAUGAGCUCGCGGCCUAUCAGCUUGUUGGUGGGGUAAUGGCCUACCAAGGCGGCGACGGGUAGCCGGCCUGAGAGGGUGGACGGCCACAUUGGGACUGAGAUACGGCCCAGACUCCUACGGGAGGCAGCAGUGGGGUAUAUUGCACAAUGGGCGGAAGCCUGAUGCAGCGACGCCGCGUGGGGGAUGACGGCCUUCGGGUUGUAAACUCCUUUCGACCGCGAGGAAGCCACCUGGUUGGAAGGGUGGUGACGGUAGUGGUAGAAGAAGCACCGGCUAACUACGUG
rnacentral:rRNA from 1 species